UUACAUGGUUCCCAUUUAUUUUUUUUCAUAGAGAACAAUGAAAUUCUGGAUUUUUCCUACAGCAUACUGAUUAUUUAUGACAGUUUUUAACCUCUCUGAUGACAAUUUCCCUUUGGAUGUUAUGACAUUCAACAUACUGUAAAUUCAGGUAUCAUGAAGGCAAAUACUAAUUUGGGUACCUGAAAUGUCUAUUUUUCCAGUGCUGUAGCCUGAAAAUGAGCACCAUUCAAAUCCCACAGCACAAUUCAGCUCUAAGUAGGUCUCUUCACCUAUAAGUGUUCAUUUAGUGCUUCUAGAAAUUUUCUCACAAUGCUCAAACAUUUUUUUGCUGUUUUCCAAUGUUUCAUUUUCAUCUAUUACUGGGUUACUCUUCUUUCCAUGCCAACCAACUCACCAGUACCACUGAUCUUGUCUCAUAGAAUAAUGAGAAGUCUCAGGACUGGUAUUACUUGAAAACCAAGCUAAGCACAGCAGAAAGUGAUACUAGCCAGCUUUUCCAAAGUAUUCAGCCCAGAACUGAUUGCCCCUCUAUGACUUCUAUUCUGUUUUAUAUCACAGUAAACAACUCAAUUAUGGAACAGUUCUGUGAGCCAACAUUUUUUGGUUUUAUUUAUUCAGUAAGUUAUUGAAAUUAUUGUGCAUUAUUUUGGGAGAAAUGGCUAUGAUACAGUUUCAUUUUGAUAUUUCAAUGAACAUGAAAUAAAGAAAAUUAUUUUUCCUAUCUCUUCAUUCAGGAAGGCAGGGGGCUAGGUGGGUGAUGCAGGACUCUCCAGAACAAAAGAUACUUUUCCUUUUAUUUACCUUGUACCACAUUAUUAUUUCUAUCCACAAAGUUGAAUUGCCUUUAAAUCACCAUAGGGCACAGGUUAGGAAACAGCAGCACUGAAACUUAGGACCCACCGUAUAAGUGCUGAAAUUGUAGUGUUCAUCCUCUUUGCUCAACAGUCAUACAGGGCUUGCAGGAAGAUCUGAGAAAUGCCAUCUUGACCUUUGUGCACAGCCAUAAAAUGAACAUAUCAGAAAUAUGCCAGCACCCAAAAUGAAAAGAUAUUCCUUUUUCCAUUCACAUUUUCAAAGAUGCAAGGGAAGCACAGAAGGAGCUAGAUGGUCCCACAGAUGAUGAUGCUUAUUUGAAAGGUAUACUAAUGCUUCUCAACACCUACUCUUGUAAGCUUACAGGUCUUCAACACUUUCAGAUCUUCACUUGUGCAAGCUGGCUCUGCAGCCAUGAAUUAAGAUCUUGAAAACUGUUCCUAUGUGUUCCUGAAGGGCUUUGGGCAUCCCUUUGCAUUGGACACUUGCCUGAGAGACUUGUAUUAGCCAUAGGGCGCAGCCAACAGGAGAUGACGGUUCCUCAGGCUACAGCUCCAAGUCACUUUCCUCUUCGCUCAGCUUCCCUUCUGCCCCUUACACUUCCUAUCCCCGACGCCGUCUACCUGAGUAACAGGAUAACUUAAAUUUUACUUCACUUCAAAUUUGCUGUUUCAUAAGGCAUAUGUGAUGAAUUUUUUUCUUUUCCAUCCCUGACUGUGUCAUCUGGCUUAACUGAUUACUUAAGGCCAUACACCUGUGCACGUAUAAUUCUUUCCACCCCAUCCAUGCCACCACUCUUUGUUGUGGAUUUCAGAGAUCUCAAAAAGAAGUUGUCUUGCUAUUUAAAGUUCUCACAUAGAGCCUAGCAGAGUUUUUCCACAGUUCUUGCAGCCCUGUUUUCUCAUGUGUUUAAACCCUCUCUAAGAAAGGGUUUUUCUCAUUAAACCCUUUCUUAGAGAGAUGCUUAGAAGCAUCACCUUGAUGACCUAGUGAGCCAAUAUUUCCUUUUGUUAUGACACCAGCCCAAAAACCAUCACAAGGUCCUAUUAUAAAACUCUGUAACUCUUACCUUGUCUACUGACACAGCAGCUCACAUACUGACCCCAUUCAAUAUCACACCUCAUAGCUUUGUUAUAAAAACCUUGUGUUGUUUUGUUCCUACCUGGAAUUCAUAAAGACUCCAUAUCUUGGCUGAUGUGUAGGAUGACACUGCAGAGAAACAGAUUCCUGAUGAAACAAAACUAUUCAAAUUGUUGGUAUCACCACAGAAUAAGAUUUCUUUAAGGUUUUGUUUAAAUCCAUAAGCAAUAGCAAAUGCUCAUGAAUAUCCAUUAAGAACUUUAGGAUCCUUACCUUUGGCUACUUAAAAAGAAGAUUAAACUCUGAGACCAUAUAAAUAUCUAAGAAAGGUAAAUUCUGAGCAAAAUUACUGAGCUAAGAAGUCUUCACCACAAAGAAACAAGGAGUACAAAGGAGGAUGGGACAUAAAGGUAUUUUAUUUACUUUUUAAAAACAAUACGGCCUUCAUUCUCACAUAAAGACUGCUGGAAGUUCUAGAGACAGAUCAGUGAAGAAAUUGUUCUGAUGUUUGUCUCAAAUUUUUGACGUCUUUAGUCAAACUCUAUCUGUAAAAACUGGGAAGGCAGAAAUACUAAUUUCAAAAUAGUAAUGCUAUUUCUGGAUAGUUCUGGAAGACUUAACAAGCUGGAGCCCAAGAAAUAGUGGAAGAAGAAUAAGAAAUUCCAUAAAUUAAAAAGACUACAGGCAUGAAAUUGUUUUCCUUGCUACUCAUAAUAAGAACACUUUUCUUGAUAAGGUGCAGGGAAAAGAUGUUGAAAAGUCAGGGCAAUCCGAGCGGUUAAGCAGCUAAAAGAUUUAUUGUAUCAGUAAUAGUAAAUUGCAAGUGCAUGCAAGCACAAGACCAUGGGUUAUUAAAAAAGGAGCAGCACAGUUUCCAUUUCUAUACAGAGGAAAAGGAAGUCACAAAUUCCAUCUAAGCAGAUUUAUGAUGGCUAUAUGUAAAGCAGAGCAUUUAUUUCUAGGAUAUUCCCUUAUAGGGAAAUAGAGGCAAACUGGAGCAAAUAAGAAGGAAAAGCAAAAGGACAAGUUUAAAGGACAAGUUUAACAAGAACUUUGGACAAAGUUGAUCUAACAGAAAAAUAAGAAAGAACUGUUGAUCCUUAAAUAUCUCUCUGAUAAAGCAGAUAUUGAGAUAGGGUGCAGGCUUCAGAGCCAACCACACUGCUAAAAAAAUAUUUCUCUACCAUUUUCCUUCCACCCUUUUAAAGAGAGUGCUACUGUAACAAAACUCAGAAGCACCCAGGUUUCUGUUUUGCACUGUCAUUUCCUUGGCAGCUGCUGCAGGGAAGAGUUCAGGACUCAGUGCUCAGACACGGAGACAGAAUGGAGAAAACACUAUCUAAGCCCUCAUCUGUCUUGUCCCACAGGUUAAGUCACAUGCUUUGGCCAGAGUCACCUCUACCUUGCUCUCUCCUCCUCCAUAUCCCCUCUCAUUCAUGCAGACUCCUCCUCCUCAUAGAUUUAGCUGCUGUCAGCAUAUUUUUCAGCAUUUCAGUUUUUAACCUAGUUCUCAGCUUGCAGGCAGUGCUAUGUGUGAAACACUCAUACAUGGCUAACACCUUGCACCUCCUUCUUCUGCUCCCCUUGUUUACUAGAAAGGCUCAAGCUGCCCACAGAGCAGUUUCCUUUUCUCUGUACCUUCAUGCAAGUUGUGAGCAACGUGAGCACAGCCAAUAACUGGGACCCUCCAGUGGCUGCAGCCAGGCAGAGCUCAGGUCAGAAAUGAGGAGAAACAAAAGCAUCCAGCUGCUUUGAGUAGGGAAUGACUGGAAAGGCAGAUACAGAAAACUCAAGGAAGGUCUAAGAGCUGCAGAGAUUGCAAGAUUCAGGACAGAGAGGAGUCCUGUGCUGCUGCAAGGCGCCAGCAUCUCUGAAAGGAUGGCCCAAACCACAGCCUACAUCACUCAGUAUUGUGUCUCCUCUUCAGGACAUUACUAGUAGUACUACUACUAAUUUUGAGAAACUGAGAAGACUGUAGCUGAGUUCUAGCACAAGGUGACCUAUGGAAAAGAUAGCAUGUUUCUGCAUAUCAUUGAUAGGCAGAAGUUUCCCUUCAAAUAUGAUGAGAUUCCCAUAUUUAUUAUUUUUCUUUAUACAGUGAAGCAUUGCACCAUAGGAGUAAUAACUGAUGGUGGGCAUAUCCCAAUUCAUACAGCAGUAAAAGAGGAAUUUGUUAUCUUGUGUUUGGGAUUUAAAAUUAGGUUGCACAGAGCACUACUUAAGUACUACUACUAAAAAGAUUCGCAUUACUGGGGUAAUAAUUAAAUUACUCCUAAAAUCUUUUUCCUAAAGUUACUAUCUUUUGAUCUCUUUUUUUUUUCAAGGACUUAGUCUUUGGUGUGUUUAACAGCCAUAGCAUAAAUUGGGAAAAAAUUGAAUAGGCUUAGGAAACCCAUUGCUACAUAACCAGUAUUCUGUUGCUGGUUUGAUGUCACCAGGGAGUUCAAAGAAAUCCUUAAUACAAGAGGAAGUCAUGAGAGAAAAGUCAACAGUCAUUUUAUUUUGCAUUCCAAGUAACAUGACAAAAUAGCAGGAGGACCAAUUUUUUUCUUUUUUUUAAAUGCAACAUCCUGAAGGAAGGAAGGAAGGAAGGAAGGAAGUGAAUUUGAAGCUUUAGCUUUGUAUGCUGGAAAGAGAAUGAAUAGUCUAUGACUAAUUAAGCCCCAGGUAAAGCUGAGACUAAUGUCCCCAACAUUUUUAAAGAAAAGACUAAGAGAGAGAUUGUUAUUCUAGAAGUCAAUGCCAUACCAACCUCAGAAAGACUCUCUGGAACACCCAACAAGACUUGUCCUGCAAGACUGGCAUUAAACUAUUCCACAUACAUUUUCCGCAGUAGACUAAAUCCCAUUUUUUUCUGAGGUCAUUUCUACUGGGAAAAUAACUAUGCCACUUCCAUGCUGGAAAUCUCAGCAUGGCUGUGGGGUUUUUUUGUGAUAGGAGCCGUUUAGCAAUUUGCCAUUAAAGUUUAUCUUCAUACUUAACAGAAGUUCACAGCAUAGCUUCUUCAUUUCCUCUUCAAGACUAUGUCACAUCUACAACUAUUUUUGUUGGCGCCAAAAUCUCAUUUCUACAGCAUUUAAGGACAAUUCCUGUACAUAGCCAUGGCUACUUGUUACUUGGAGGAAAGCACGAGCCCCACUGCCUGCUGGCUGAGCUCUGUCUCCUACAGUGACUUAUCUCAGCAGGCUGAGGGGCACAGGCUGGCUCUGCUCAGCAGUACGUGCACCACAGGCUCCAGACACGCAAUCACAAUCCCUCAAAAUAUUCAGAUGGCUGUCUAUGGAGAUUGUUUACUCUUCAUCCAGUAUUCUCUGCAUUCACAUGAAAACCCCAAAGACCUCCAACGUGUAUUUCAAUACAAAGAAUAGUUGUGCUCCUAUAGCAAGUUCAAGGGCAGGCAUGGGAGUCUUGAAAAGACUCAAUUAUCAAAUAUCCUAUUUAAAGAAUUUUUUAUGCCGAAAACACUAAGCCUCUCCUGUCCUUAUAGCACAUAGUAUUUUGAUUAUCCUAUCUACCCCAGUAGGGUAAAUAACUAGGAAAGAGCAAAAAGUGUUUUAUUCUCUAUUGGGUCAAAGGAAUGUAUUUUUCAAAAAAUUUUAUUCACACAUUUAUUUUUGAAACAAACCAUAACCUCCCUUUCCCAUAACAGAUUAAAAAAUCAGGUAUUUUUGGUCUUUGAAUUUUGAAAUAGCAGGGGAAUAAAAGGCAUCUUUUUCUUAACUACUUUAUUCUCAGAAAUUAUGACUAUAAAUCAAGUUUCCAUCUGUCAGACUUUUGCUGCUUAGGAUGCAAACAAUAAUUCAAUAUAUCAAGAGAGAGUUUUAUAAAGAUACUAUAGACUCCGAAUAAAGUUCUUUUACCCACCUGAGAAAAAGGAACAAAGAUAUUUGAGAAGUAUCUCACUCAGACACUGAAAACACGAGAGCUGUGCAGAUCAAUCAUAGUUAACCAGGUGCUUCUAGAAAUAAGCACAUUCCUUAACUGCAACUAAUAGAAGUUAAGAAUUAUUUUAAAUAGACAUAAGGCGCAUUAAGGUUCUGAAUCUCAAAUUUCAUAAUUUCCAUAAGAAAGGAAGGUACUUUUUUUUCUGCACAGUAUCAUAGUAGAGGCCUAAAUGUGACAUAACAGAAGUGUAUGAGGUCAUUUCCUCCUCCAGAGUACUUUAGUGUGAUACAGCUGUGCUGAACAGUUCUAUAUCUCUAGAUGUAAAAACAUGCUUUACACUUACAGUGGUAAAAUAAAGGGCAUUAAUUAUAAUUUUUAGCCAUUCACUCAAACAGAAGUGUGUUUGUACUUUGAUUGGACUCUAGAUAUUCAUGCAUUGGUAAAAAUUGCUGUCGCAGACUAAUCCUUGCAUUUGCCCCUGAUUUACCCUCAUGGAUGUAGGAUAAGGAAAAAAGCAAAGUCUAGUCUCUGUGAUUAGUUAGAGCUUAUUCAGCGUUGUUUUCACUCAUGAGCAGCUGUAUCCUGGCCCUUUCUGCCUCUUCUGAUUGCAAGCAAUUACUUGAAUAUAUAGGUGCUUGACUGUCAUCCCUUCUGCCAGAAAUAUACUUGCCACUAAGACCAUGGUGAGAGGGAUAUAGAUAUAUAGAUAGAUAAAAAAUUAGACAAAUUAAGGUAAAAUAAGGUAAAUUGGAGCAAUUUCUUUGUACCCUGUUUAUCAGAGUGGAGACAACAGGUGAUACAUUUCUAAGGACAUUACAGGUAUUCAAGGUUUAUAAGCGUUCAUUGUAGAAGCUGAUGAGGACUGAAUUGAAUUAACUGAAAAACAACCAUUGGUCAAAUACCACAUAUAAAUUCCAAGACUAUAUUGUAUAUGUAAAAAAUGAAAAAAACUGCAUCAUUUUUACUCAAAAUUAAUUUCUAAUCUAACACUAGAAUACUUGAAUCAUUAUUUAUUGUAAUUAAAAAAGAGAUUUUGAGAUUGAUCAUAUUACUUUAUGCUCAGGAAAUUUAAAAAACAAUACUAUGGAUGAUAACAAAUUCAGUUCUAAAGAAAGAUUAUCUGAAAACCUUCACAAUAAAACUUUCUUUACAAAUCACCUGGAGAUUUAAAUUAUUUAGUGCAGAAAAAGCCCAGCUGUCCUUCAUUCGUCAUUGAGAAGAGAGAAAAAACGACGGAUGAGCCAGAUAUUGAAAAAGUCUUUUUUUUUGGAAGACUUUUUCUUACGUUACUAAAAACUGCUAUUUCAACUUAGCUGUGCCCUUGAUGAGAGGAAGUGCUUUAACGUACGCCUGUAUCCUGCCAAGUGCUAGCUGGUAGCAGAGAGGCAGGGUGCUGCACUCUGCCAUGCCACUGAAACGCUGCAGCGCGAGCAGGCUGCACCCUCCUUGGCUGAACGGGAGAGAAGUGAGAAAGAGCCUGCACUCUGUGCCACACCGCCCUCGAUGCUGCUGCUGAAUGAUUUCUAUUGCACAGGCAUGGUCUGAUGGACGUUUUGCACUGCUUUGCUCCAAUUCCCAAAUGAGAACUGUUUCAAGAUUAUUUUCACAGAGAAGACUUAAGUUCAGAGUCAGACUGCUGAAGAAUAAAGAAGAUGUUCUUUGCAAUGGUAACCAGGAUGUGUUCUGCUUUAAAUGGAAGAAGUCAGACCUGUUGAGAACCUGUCUCUAUGGAUUGCACACAAAGGAGGUUUCCUCCCUACUGCUACAUGAAAUUAAUGUAAAUUGCCCUUCAGUUGAUGGUGGCUUCAAGCUAUUACAAAACAUUUAGAAAGUAUGAUCCACACAUCCAGUGGCAGUAUUAUACACAGUUUGAAUAGGAGUCUAAAAAGAAAAUAAAGAGGUGAAAUUGGCAGAAAUUAUCACAGAAUCCACUGAGUUGGAUCAUCAAGCCCAGCUCCUGGUCCUGCACAGGACCAUCCCCAAGAACCUCAUUGUGUGCCUGAAAGUAUUGUCCAAAUGCCUCUUGAGCUCUGUCAGGUUGGUGCAGUGACCAGUUCCUAGGGGAGCCUGUUCCAGCCACCCUCUGGGUGAGGAACUUUUCCUGACAUCCAACCUAAACCUCCCCUGACACAACUUCAGGCCGUUCCCUUGUGUCCUGUCCCUGUCACCACAGAGCAGGGAUCAGUGCCUGCCCCUCCUCUUCCCCUCACAAGGAAGCUGCACCUGCAGUGAGGCCUCCCCUCAGUGUCCAUCAGGCCGAACACACCAAGGGACCUCAGCCACUCCUCACACGGCUUCACCCCAGGGCCCCUCACCGUCCUUGUGGCCAGAUGGAGGAGGCAGGAAGGGGUGUGAGACAAAACCCCACAUGUGAGGCUGAGGGGGAGCUGCUGUGCCAUCAAGAGGGACCCCAAUGGUGUCGCUGACAGGUAGCAGAAGAUUUGACUUUGAAGUCAGGGACCAGAAUGUCCUAGUGCUUCCUGCUUCCCACUAGCAGCCUUAGUGAACACUGUCAGGUAAGACACAGUGAAAGUCUUGCUCAUGCUUCCAGCUCUGAAAAAAUCAGUCCUAUAAAACUCCCUGCAUUGAACAGCACCAUUGAGCUUUCACCACCUCACAACUGCUUGUAUGAGCCUCCAGAUGUAGUAUCUGAUGAUGAAAAGGAGCAUGAGAAGAGGAAAGGAAAGUUUAAGAGGAAAGAAAAAAAGAAUGGAAGAUUAUGAUGCAUUUCAAGAGGACAAUUUCAGUGAUGAAGCUGGAAGUUUUUCAAAGUUGAAGCAGUCCAAGGGAAUACAUAUCCUCAAGAAACCCAACUUCAAAAAAAUGAAAAGGAAUUUAAAAUUAAAGGGAAACCCAAAAAUGAAAUGCAAACAGAAGAUAAACAUAAGCAAGACAAACAUCAAGAGAAAGAGUUAAAAGAUGUAACUGCAGUAGACCUUGUAAAACAGCGAGGGAAAAAAGCAAACAAGGAGCAACAAGUCAAGCCAUUGCCAAGUAAAGACAGGAAAGACAUGGCAUUUUAAUCAGGAUCCUUGUCUAUGCAUAAAAUCAACUGAACUGUGAAAAUUACUGUAAUUUGAA